rnacentral:rRNA from 1 species
GGUGAGUAAUGUCUGGGAAACUGCCUGAUGGAGGGGGAUAACUACUGGAAACGGUAGCUAAUACCGCAUAACGUCGCAAGACCAAAGUGGGGGACCUUCGGGCCUCAUGCCAUCAGAUGUGCCCAGAUGGGAUUAGCUAGUAGGUGGGGUAAUGGCUCACCUAGGCGACGAUCCCUAGCUGGUCUGAGAGGAUGACCAGCCACACUGGAACUGAGACACGGUCCAGACUCCUACGGGAGGCAGCAGUGGGGAAUAUUGCACAAUGGGCGCAAGCCUGAUGCAGCCAUGCCGCGUGUGUGAAGAAGGCCUUCGGGUUGUAAAGCACUUUCAGCGGGGAGGAAGGCGAUAAGGUUAAUAACCUUGUCGAUUGACGUUACCCGCAGAAGAAGCACCGGCUAACUCCGUGCCAGCAGCCGCGGUAAUACGGAGGGUGCAAGCGUUAAUCGGAAUUACUGGGCGUAAAGCGCACGCAGGCGGUCUGUCAAGUCGGAUGUGAAAUCCCCGGGCUCAACCUGGGAACUGCAUUCGAAACUGGCAGGCUAGAGUCUUGUAGAGGGGGGUAGAAUUCCAGGUGUAGCGGUGAAAUGCGUAGAGAUCUGGAGGAAUACCGGUGGCGAAGGCGGCCCCCUGGACAAAGACUGACGCUCAGGUGCGAAAGCGUGGGGAGCAAACAGGAUUAGAUACCCUGGUAGUCCACGCCGUAAACGAUGUCGAUUUGGAGGUUGUGCCCUUGAGGCGUGGCUUCCGGAGCUAACGCGUUAAAUCGACCGCCUGGGGAGUACGGCCGCAAGGUUAAAACUCAAAUGAAUUGACGGGGGCCCGCACAAGCGGUGGAGCAUGUGGUUUAAUUCGAUGCAACGCGAAGAACCUUACCUGGUCUUGACAUCCACAGAACUUUCCAGAGAUGGAUUGGUGCCUUCGGGAACUGUGAGACAGGUGCUGCAUGGCUGUCGUCAGCUCGUGUUGUGAAAUGUUGGGUUAAGUCCCGCAACGAGCGCAACCCUUAUCCUUUGUUGCCAGCGGUUAGGCCGGGAACUCAAAGGAGACUGCCAGUGAUAAACUGGAGGAAGGUGGGGAUGACGUCAAGUCAUCAUGGCCCUUACGACCAGGGCUACACACGUGCUACAAUGGCAUAUACAAAGAGAAGCGACCUCGCGAGAGCAAGCGGACCUCAUAAAGUAUGUCGUAGUCCGGAUUGGAGUCUGCAACUCGACUCCAUGAAGUCGGAAUCGCUAGUAAUCGUAGAUCAGAAUGCUACGGUGAAUACGUUCCCGGGCCUUGUACACACCGCCCGUCACACCAUGGGAGUGGGUUGCAAAAGAAGUAGGUAGCUUAACCUUCGGGAGGGCGCUUACCACUUUGUGAUUCAUGACUGGGGUGAAGUCGUAACAAGGUAACCGUAGGGGAACCUGCGGUUG